AACCUCAUCUUUAAAAAAGAACAUUUCGCCUGCGUAUCCUACUCAGAACGAAAGCUGCCCGAUCACUCAUGAAGGCUUCAAUACUUACCGGUGUUUUGCAGGGGAAUUCGUCAUAGGAAGGAGGACUGUGUUUCCAGGAACUAGCCGUUCUGCAUAACCCCGUGAUUUGCAUUCUGUGCCGCCAUCAGCAAACACCAAGAGCUGCAGGGGCCCGCUAAUACCUUGGAGCAACUUUGAAGAGCGAUGGAGCAUUUCCGAGGCGGUAUCCAAAGGAGGGCCUGGUCACUGAAAGGAGGAAGUCUGAACACUCACGGGGUCUCGCCACUGAGUCACCCGCUGUUUGACUGAGGUGGCAAGCCAGUGCUCGCCGCUGCCGUCCACACCCGGCCGAGCUUUUAUACUGGUUUCCAGUCCCCAUUACCACUUUCAGGAGAAGUGAAAGGAGAAAAAAACCCAACCCAUCCACCACGCCAUGAAUUCCCCCCUUCCCAGCGCUGUGUUAA